UGGAAGUAAAAAUCGUAACAAGGUUUCCGUAGGUGAACCUGCGGAAGGAUCAUUACAGUAUUCUUUUGCCAGCGCUUAACUGCGCGGCGAAAAACCUUACACACAGUGUCUUUUUGAUACAGAACUCUUGCUUUGGUUUGGCCUAGAGAUAGGUUGGGCCAGAGGUUUAACAAAACACAAUUUAAUUAUUUUUACAGUUAGUCAAAUUUUGAAUUAAUCUUCAAAACUUUCAACAACGGAUCUCUUGGUUCUCGCAUCGAUGAAGAACGCAGCGAAAUGCGAUAAGUAAUAUGAAUUGCAGAUUUUCGUGAAUCAUCGAAUCUUUGAACGCACAUUGCGCCCUCUGGUAUUCCAGAGGGCAUGCCUGUUUGAGCGUCAUUUCUCUCUCAAACCCCCGGGUUUGGUAUUGAGUGAUACUCUUAGUCGGACUAGGCGUUUGCUUGAAAAGUAUUGGCAUGGGUAGUACUAGAUAGUGCUGUCGACCUCUCAAUGUAUUAGGUUUAUCCAACUCGUUGAAUGGUGUGGCGGGAUAUUUCUGGUAUUGUUGGCCCGGCCUUACAACAACCAAACAAGUUGACCUCAAAUCAGGUAGAAUCCCCCAGCC
rnacentral:rRNA from 1 species